AUGCUUCGAUGUCGGCCCUUCCUAUCAUUGAGACGCAGCAGGC
rnacentral:rRNA from 2 species